GACGUAAUGAUGUCUAUCUCCAGAGAUUGCUGUCAGCCCCAACAGCAGUGUGGUGAUCAUCUAUGAAAGAAGGGGAACGAGUGGGCCAAGAUCCACGAGCUGACUGAGCACAGUGGACGAAUCACAGGCGUCGACUGGGCUCCGGAUUCGAACCGCAUCGUGACGUGUGCAUCGGACCGUAAUGCGUACGUGUGGACCCUGAAGACAAAGUGUGUGAAGCCCACUCUUGUGUUGGUGAGGAUCAACCGGGCUGCUACCUUUGUCAAGUGGUCCCCUCUGGAGAAUAAGUUUGCCCUGGCAGCGGAGCUCGCCUCAUCUCUGUCUGCUACUUUCGAGAAGGAGAACGACUGGUGGCUCAGUAAGCACAUAAAGAAGAGCAUCCGCGUCCACGGUGAUGUGUCUGGACUGGCACCCCAACAACAUCCUGUUUGGCUGCAGGAUCCUCUGACUUCCAUUGCAGGUCAGAACCAACAGAUAGUAACUGUUCUCUAAGGCUUCCACUGCAGGUCAGAACCAACAGAUAGUAACUGUCUCUAAGGCUUCCACUGCAGGUCAGAACCAACAGAUAGUACCUGUCUCUAAGGCUUCCAC